UACGAAGGGGGCUAGCGUUGUUCGGAAUUACUGGGCGUAAAGCGUGCGCAGGCGGUUGUGCAAGACAGAUGUGAAAUCCCCGGGCUUAACCUGGGAAUUGCAUUUGUGACUGCACGGCUAGAGUGUGUCAGAGGGGGGUAGAAUUCCACGUGUAGCAGUGAAAUGCGUAGAUAUGUGGAGGAAUACCGAUGGCGAAGGCAGCCCCCUGGGAUAACACUGACACUCAUGCACGAAAGCGUGGGGAGCAAACAGG
rnacentral:rRNA from 1 species